CAGGCGCAUCCCGAAAAGCCUUCAAAAGAGUAGGGG
rfam:Pedobacter ginsenosidimutans strain KACC 14530 contig03, whole genome shotgun sequence.